CAUUUCUCCUCCUUCUCUCUUGAGCCCUUCUCCUUCUCUCUUCUGCAACUUACCACCAUUAUCUCCGUUCACGUUUCAGCACCGUAGGAACGUUCCCUGCACCGCGAGCUUCAGUUCAAACCGAACAACUUCCAGUUCUGUUUAGUGGGGGAAAGCUUAAGAGAAACGUUGAGAGAGCUUCUGUUAGACGAAACAAGAUCCACCCCUUUAGGACGUUUGCUACUGAAUCCGGACGGAGAGGGGUUACUUGAAGAAACACUGGAAGAAGAAAAUUUGGAGGACGCCAAUCUCGUAGAAGUGGAAGUGAAGUCCGAAUAGUAGAGGCGUUCGGUUUUUAGUUAGAUUAGCGAGCGGCUGUGAGCGAGCGCUCUUUAGUGGAUUGUAAAUAGUUGGACGUUCGGUCAUUGUUUUGUAAACCGUUCGUCCUUAUCUUUUGUGAACGCU